rnacentral:rRNA from 1 species
AAACAUGUUUAGAAGUUAGAUGUUUUUAGUUUUAUUUGCUCCCUGCUUAAGUAAAUAGCUGCAGUAUUUUGACUGUACAAAGGUAGCAUAAUCAUUAGUUUUUUGAUUGAAAGCUAGAAUGAAUGAUUGGAUGAAAAAAUAACUUUUUUAUUUUUAUAUUUAAUUUAAUUUUUAUGUUAAAAAGCAUAAAUAUUUAUAAGGGACGAGAAGACCCUAUAGAAUUUAAAAUAUUUGGGAAAAAAUUUUUGGUUGGGGUAAUAAAGAUUUAAUUUCUUUUUUUUUUCAUUUAUUAAUGAUUUUAUGAUCAUGAAUUUAGAUUAUAAGAUAAAAUUACCUUAGGGAUAACAGCAUAAUUUUUUUAAAAAGAUCUUAUUAAUAGAAAAGAUUAUGACCUCGAUGUUGAAUUAAAAUAUUAGAAAGAUGCAGGAGUUUUUUU